GUUCCUUCAGGAGUCAGCAUUCUUACUGGAUGCCCCUGGCAAGUCUGUGACAGUGGAUGCUGAAGACAGAACUGGAAAUCCUUUUGGAGGAUAUGAAUUUCCAGCCUCCCAGAAGACUGCCAAGCCUGCAGAUGAAGGCUCUGUAGAGGAGCAGCUGGGCCUGGCCCAGGCAGAGGGUUCAGUGGAGCAAAGUUACCCCACAAUGGCAGCUGGACAUUCUGGAGAAGGAACUCCUGCUGCAGGAAGCCGAGGACCAGCUUGCCUCCCUGACAUGGUCUUCAGUUCAAUGACAGACCCAGGAAGGCAGCCAGAGCUGACAGGCCUGGAGGGGACAGAGGCCAUCCAGAGCCUGCAGGUGAUGGAGCAUGUUGAAGCCCAUGUAUCUAGUGAGCCAGGGGCCUUGGCUGAGGAGGAGGACUGUGAAUGCAAUAUUGACAAAGAGCUGUCCUAUGAGAUGUCUGAAGAGAACCAAAAAUUCCCAGUGCUCUUGAAGAGGUGUGGAGACUACAGAAAAAGCCAGAGAUGCGUAUCCUGAGAUGCGUUGGAAGGCCACAGUGGCCAAGACCUGUUUCUACAUGAAGAUGAUGAGGGCACAGCAGGAUUAGUAGAGAGUAAAAAGCACUGCAGAAGGCAAGGGCAACCCAAGUUCUUGUUAAAAGAUCCUUUGGGGUGAAACACCACUGAACAGUUGGUGUUUGUAAAUAUAAACAUGUAGGGUUUAUUACAGAAUAGUUUGGUUGCAAAGGAAAACAGGUAUGUAGCAGUUUUGGUUAGUAUUAUCUCUAGUAAUAUAACAACAAGGAAGCAUUACAAUAUAAAAAUGGAACAACAUCACCCAAGGACAUGCACAAGGGAAAAGAAAGAGAAAGCACAAGAAUGUAAUGAACAAAAAAAAAAAGAGAGAGAGAGAAAACACAAGAGUGUGAAGCUCUCACCACCCGUAGGUCCUUCACCAAGACUUGGUUGCUGAGCAAUCUCAGUUAAAGUGGUGAUUGCAAAACUGAUCUGUUGGGUGAUGGGAGAAGUACCAAAGAACUGGCAGGGGAAAAUCCCCAGGAAAAUCUGCUGAACACAAAAUCUAUUUGGUUUAUAGUCAAGUUCAGGUGGGAACACCCACGUGACCAAGGUACCUCCCCCAGGACAGGGAGGUUCACAUUGGAUGAUGUCAUUUUGUGGAUCACUGGACACUUCGGGUGCCCUUGACACCUUCUGAGAAAACAUAGCUGCCCAAGACAACGUAGGGUCCAAGACAAUACAGUUGCCCACCACGCCAGGGCAGCUGAGUCAAUUAUGGCCCGUUAUGACCCAUCAGCCACAUGACCCUCAGGCCACGUAUGAAUGUCCCCGGUACCUGGGGAAGUGGAGGUGGAGGUGGUGGGAGAGGGAGG
rnacentral:lncRNA from 1 species